rnacentral:sRNA from 1 species
CCCUCCACGAGGACCGACCCGUCGGUGAUCG